GACGAACGCUGGCGGCGUGCUUAACACAUGCAAGUCGAACGGAAAGGCCCUGCUUUUGUGGGGUGCUCGAGUGGCGAACGGGUGAGUAACACGUGAGUAACCUGCCCUUGACUUUGGGAUAACUUCAGGAAACUGGGGCUAAAACCGGAUAGGAGCUCUUGCUGCAUGGUGGGGGUUGGAAAGUUUCGGCGGUUGGGGAUGGAAUCGCGGCUUAUCAGCUUGUUGGUGGGGUAGUGGCUUACCAAGGCUUUGACGGGUAGCCGGCCUGAGAGGGUGACCGGCCACAUUGGGACUGAGAUACGGCCCAGACUCCUACGGGAGGCAGCAGUGGGGAAUAUUGCACAAUGGGCGGAAGCCUGAUGCAGCAACGCCGCGUGCGGGAUGACGGCCUUCGGGUUGUAAACCGCUUUCGCCUGUGACGAAGCGUGAGUGACGGUAAUGGGUAAAGAAGCACCGGCUAACUACGUG
rnacentral:rRNA from 1 species